GACGGGAGCGUAACACAUUGGUAAUCCACCCCUAAGAGGGGGAUAACCCUCCGAAAGGAGGGCUAAUACCCCAUGUGCCCCGCAUUCACAUGGAUGCGGAGUAAAGGUUUACUGCUUAGGGAGGAGCCUAUGCCCUAUCAGCUAGUUGGUGAGGUAACGGCUCACCAAGGCUUUGACGGGUACCGGGUGUGAGAGCAUGACCCGGCUCAAUGGGACUGAGACACUGCCCAUACUUCUACGGAAGGCUGCAGUCGAGAAUAUUCCACAAUGGCCGAAAGGCUGAUGGAGCGACGCCGCGUGCAGGAAGAAUCCCCAUCGGGGUGUAAACUGCUUUUUUUAGGGAAGAACAAAUGACGGUACCUAAAGAAUAAGGGGCUGCUAACUUCGUGCCAGCAGCAGCGGUAAUACGAAGGCCCCAAGCGUUAUCCGGAAUUAUUGGGCGUAAAGCGUCCGCAGGCUGUUUAGUAAGCGUGUCGUCAAAUUUCAGGGCUCAACCCUGAAGCCGCGAUGCGAACUGCUAAGCUAGAGUGUGGGAGAGGCAUCUGGAAUUGUCGGUGUAGUAGUAAAAUGCGUUAAUAUCGACAGGAACACCAAAAGCGAAAGCAUGAUGCUGGAACACUACUGACGCUCAGGGACGAAAGCGUGGGGAGCGAAUCGGAUUAGAUACCCGAGUAGUCCACGCCGUAAACGAUGCACACUAGGCAUUGGCAGUAUCGACCCUGUCAGUGCCGCUUAACCAAGCUAACGCGUUAAGUGUGCCGCCUGGGGAGUACGGUCGCAAGACUAAAACUCAAAGGAAUUGACGGGGACCCGCACAAGCGGUGGAGCAUGUGGUUCAAUUCGACGGUAAGCGAGGAACCUCACCCAGUCUUGACAUCUAGCUGCAAGCCACCAGAGAUGGAGGCCGCCUUCGAGGGUGCUAGACAGGUGCUGCAUGGUUGUCGUCAGCUCGUGGCGUGAGCUGUACGGUUAAGUCCGGUAACGAGCGCAACCCUCGUG
rnacentral:rRNA from 1 species